UACGGGGGGGGUAAGCGUUGUUCGGAAUUACUGGGCGUAAAGGGCUCGUAGGCGGCCAACUAAGUCAGACGUGAAAUCCCUCAGCUUAACUGGGGAACUGCGUCUGAUACUGGAUGGCUUGGAUCCGGGAGAGGGAUGCGGAAUUCCAGGUGUAGCGGUGAAAUGCGUAGAUAUCUGGAGGAACACCGGUGGCGAAGGCGGCAUCCUGGGCCAGCACUGACGCUCAUGCACGAAAGCGUGGGGAGCAAACAGG
rnacentral:rRNA from 1 species